rnacentral:rRNA from 1 species
CGUGUAGGCGGCUUGACAAGUCAGAUGUGAAAUCCCUGGGCUUAACCCAGGAAGUGCAUUUGAAACUGUCUUGCUCGAGUAAGGGAGAGGAAAGUGGAAUUCCUGGUGUAGAGGUGAAAUUCGUAGAUAUCAGGAGGAACACCGGUGGCGAAGGCGACUUUCUGGCCCUAUACUGACGCUGAGACGCGAAAGCGUGGGUAGCAAACA